rnacentral:rRNA from 1 species
AUUGAACGCUGGCGGCAUGCUUUACACAUGCAAGUCGAACGGCAGCGCGGGCUUCGGCCUGGCGGCGAGUGGCGAACGGGUGAGUAAUACAUCGGAACGUGCCCAGUAGUGGGGGAUAGCUCGGCGAAAGCCGGAUUAAUACCGCAUACGACCUGAGGUUGAAAGCGGGGGAUCUUCGGACCUCGCGCUAUUGGAGCGGCCGAUGGCAGAUUAGCUAGUUGGUGGGGUAAAGGCCUACCAAGGCGACGAUCUGUAGCUGGUCUGAGAGGACGACCAGCCACACUGGGACUGAGACACGGCCCAGACUCCUACGGGAGGCAGCAGUGGGGAAUUUUGGACAAUGGGCGAAAGCCUGAUCCAGCAAUGCCGCGUGUGUGAUGAAGGCCUUCGGGUUGUAAAGCACUUUUGGCGGGAACGAAAAGGACUGUGCCAAUACCACGGUUCGAUGACGGUACCCGCAGAAUAAGCACCGGCUAACUACGUG